ACAGGAUUGGGCCAUGUGAUAUAAAAUAGUCAUCUCUACAUAUAGUUUUUGUUUCUACCUGCUCCUCUUCAUGCACCUUCUCAAUUCAAUUCAGCCGAAUGGACACCAAAGCCAGGCACGUAGUGAAAAACCUUCUGUACACAGCUUUACAAACGUAAUGACCGCCUGCUGCAAGGCCCGCCACUCAGGCCGAUACGCCACACAACCCUUCAUUGAGAUCCGCGUGAGUUCGGAACCUAACGACUGCCAUGCCGGGCAACUGACACGAGUCCAACCAGCCCACGGGCCGUCAGUCGGCAUCAAAGGUCUCUCGGUCAGGCUGCACAAGUAAAGUUGAGCAUCUCGGUCUCGGACUUACACAUCAACUCUGGAGCUUACGGAGGGUUUUAAGCUGCCACUUGUGCUCAAAUCAAAUGCAACAACAAACAUUCUGCAAAGAGAGGACAAAGACCUACCACCAUCCAAGGGGCAUUGGGACCCAAAGAUGGACUAUUGAACAACAC
rnacentral:lncRNA from 1 species